AUACUUACCUGGCAGGGGAGCUACCAUGAUCACGAGGAUGGUUUUCCCAGGGUGGGGCUUAUCCAUUGUACUAUGGAUGUGCCGACCCCUGUGAUCUCCUCAAAUGUGGGAAACUCGGCUGCUAAUUUGUGGUAGUGGAGACUGUGUUUACUUUCCCAU
rnacentral:snRNA from 1 species